UACAAAUAUAGUUAACAUGAGUAUGAGCAGAAGGUCAAAAUAAUAAAUGUCACUGGAUGAAACAGGAAGAAAUAGAAAAUCCUGAGCAGACCAAUCAUAAGUAAUGAAAGUGAAUCAGUAACAGAAAAUCUUUCAGCAAGUGGGAGAUAAACAUAAACAAUGGGUACACAUGGACUUAAGGAUGGAAAUAAUAGACACUGGGGACUUGAAAAGGAAGCAGGCUGGGAGGG
rnacentral:lncRNA from 10 species